GCACCGGUGGUGGAAUUGGCAGACACACCUGAUUCAAAAUCAGACGAACAGCGAUGUUCAUGCGGGUUCGAGGCCCGCCUGGUGCACCA
rnacentral:tRNA from 1 species